AAAAUAUAUGAGGCAACAUGGUAUGCUGGUGGUCAGGCCUACAUUCCCUAAAAAAAGCGAAUGAAAGUUUCUUUCUAGUGAAAGGGAUCAGUCUAAAUUCCGCACUAAGUCCAGUUGACCUUAUUGUUCUUCCUAGAGCAUACCUCUGCUCUAUGGAAGCUUAGCUACUGUUCUGUUUAUAUCCUGUGAAGGAAUACUGGCCAGACCAGCUAGUUUAAGGGAAAUUAAAAGAAGCUCCACCCUGGGAUUUUAUGGUCUAGCCAAGUUGACAUAUAAAAUUAACAAUUAUACCCACUUACGUGAGGAAGUAACUACAGUAAUUUUAAUUUUUUAUUCCAAUUUGGCUAUCAACUGUUGAGAGCAGAGAAAGAGCAGGCCAACUGUUGAGCAGAGAGAAUUUAAAGUAAUCAAUACAGGCACUAUGGUAUUUUGGAACUUAAUUUCUUUUCAGAAGAAAAAUUAAUGCCUGUUUAUUAUGAUACAUUUUUUAAAUGUCAAAAAAUAGAAUAAAUAAAACAAAACUCACUCUGUCCUCAUAAUCCUGAGUUAUAUUUUUCAAUUAGACUUUGUCU
rnacentral:lncRNA from 1 species